rnacentral:rRNA from 1 species
UACGGAGGGUGCGAGCGUUGUCCGGAAUCACUGGGCGUAAAGGGCGCGUAGGCGGUUCGUACAGUCAGACGUGAAAUUCCUGGGCUCAACCUGGGGGCUGCGUUUGAUACGUGCGGACUUGAGUGCGGAAGAGGGUCGUGGAAUUCCCAGUGUAGCGGUGAAAUGCGCAGAUAUCAGGAAGAACACCCGUGGCGAAGGCGGCUCUCUGGAACGCAACUGACGCUGAGACGCGAAAGCGUGGGGAGCAAACAGG